rnacentral:rRNA from 1 species
CACGUAGGGCGCAAGCGUUGUCCGGAAUUAUUGGGCGUAAAGAGCUCGUAGGUGGUUUGUCGCGUUGUUCGUGAAAACCGGGGGCUUAACCCUCGGCGUGCGGGCGAUACGGGCAGACUUGAGUACUGCAGGGGAGACUGGAAUUCCUGGUGUAGCGGUGGAAUGCGCAGAUAUCAGGAGGAACACCGGUGGCGAAGGCAAUCCCCUGGGCCUGUACUGACGCUCAUGCACGAAAGCGUGGGGAGCAAACAGG